rnacentral:rRNA from 1 species
AUUGAACGCUGGCGGCAGGCCUAACACAUGCAAGUCGAACGAGUGGCGGACGGGUGAGUAAUGUCUGGGAAACUGCCCGAUGGAGGGGGAUAACUACUGGAAACGGUAGCUAAUACCGCAUACCAUCGGAUGUGCCCAGAUGGGAUUCGCUAGUAGGUGGGGUAACGGCGCACCUAGGCGACGAUCCCUAGCUGGUCUGAGAGGAUGACCAGCCAAACUGGAACUGAGACACGGUCCAGACUCCUACGGGAGGCAGCAGUGGGGAAUAGUGAACAAUGGGCGCAAGCCUGAUGCAGCCAUGCCGCGUGUAUGAAGAAGGCCGUCGGGUUGUAAAGUACUUUCAGCGAGGAGGCGUUACUCGCAGAAGAAGCAGCGGCUAACUCCGUGCCAGCAGCCGCGGUAAUUC